UACGUAGAAGACUAGUGUUAUUCAUCUUUAGUAGGUUUAAAGGGUACCUAGACGGUAUAAUUAGUCUUAAAUAGGAUACGGUUAUACUAGAGUUAUAUAUGAGGAGGUGAGUAUUUAUGGAGUAGAGUUGAAAUUCUUUGAUACCAUAACGACUGAUAACGGCGAAAAGCAACCUUUUAUCUAAUAACUGACGUUGAGGGACGAAGGCU
rnacentral:rRNA from 1 species